ensembl:lncRNA
ACACUGUCUCACACACACACAGAGACAACACUGUCACACACGCGCGCGCAGACAACACUGUCUCACACAGAGACAACACUGUCACCCACAGAGACAACACUGUCACACACAGAGACAACACUGUCACCCACAGAGACAACACUGUCACACACACACACACACACAGGCACCACUGUCACACACACACAGAGGCACCAGUCACACACACACACACACACAGACACCACUGUCACACACACAGAGACAACACUGUCACACACACAGAGACAACACUGUCACACACACACACACACACACACAGAGACAACACUGUCACACACACAGAGACAACACUGUCACACACACACACACACAGACAACACUGUCACACACACACAGGCACCACUGUCACACACACACACACACACACACACACAGAGACAACACUGUCACACACACACACAGAGACAACACUGUCACACACACACAGAGACAACACUGUCACACACACAGAGACAACACUGUCACACACACACACACACAGAGACAACACUGUCACACACACACACACACACAGAGACAACAAUGUCACACACACACACACAGAGACAACACUGUCACACACACAGAAACAACACUGUCACACACACACAGACACACACACACACAGAGACACCACUGUCACACACACACAGACACACACACACAGACACCACUGUCACACACACAGAGACACACACACACACACACCACUGUCACACACACAGACAACACUGUCACACACACAGACAACACUGUCUCACACACACACACACACACAACACUGUCACACACACACAGAGACAACACUGUCACACACACACACACAGAGACAACACUGUCACACACACACACAGAGACAACACUGUCACACACACACACACAGACAACACUGUCACACACACAGAGACACCACUGUCACACACACACACACACACAACACUGUCACACACACAGAGACAACACUGUCACACACACAGAGACAACACUGUCACACACACACAGAGACAACACUGUCACACACACAGAGACAACACUGUCACACACACAGAGACAACACUGUCACACACACAGAGACAACACUGUCACACACACACACACACCACUACAACACUGUCACACACACAGAAACAACACUGUCACACACACACAGACACACACACACAGAGACACCACUGUCACACACACACAGACACACACACACAGACACCACUGUCACACACACAGAGACACACACACACACACACCACUG